UCCUUUUCCUUUUUUUACUACCCGAGUACCAUUGGACUCCUCCCUUAAAUAAACCCUAUGUAUUUACCUUUCUUAUGCUAAUGUAAAGGUUUUUUACUCAUAUUCCCUUUUCUUAAUUAUAUUCUCCCGUUUGAAAUCAAAUCCCUUAACUGAAGGGAGAAUAUAUGAGACUGAUUUUUAACAAACAUUUCUUUCCUUUCUUACCUGUUUCUCUACACUAUAAAAGGGGAUGCCCUUCUACACUUUCAACACGAUCAAUUUUGAAUAGUUUCAUACUACUUCCAACUGAUUACUUUUAAUUUCUCAUACAAAACUCGAGUCCUAGCUCAUAACUCACUCACACACAUAAAUUGUUCUUUCUAAUUGUGGUUUGUUUGCAAGAAUCCUGCCUUCUUUGCUUAUCUUUCCAAAACUAGUAUGUUCUUUGUUUAACUUCUGCCUCUCCCCCUAGGUGUUUAUUCUGCAGUUCACCCUUUGUUUGGCUUACAUUCUAUGUGCUGUAACUUUCUGCAAGCUUUCUUCUUUCUUUGUUUCUGUUCUUAUAUGAAUACCUAC
rnacentral:lncRNA from 1 species